rnacentral:rRNA from 1 species
GACGAACGCUGGCGGCGUGCUUAACACAUGCAAGUCGAACGGAAAGGCCCUGCUUUUGUGGGGUGCUCGAGUGGCGAACGGGUGAGUAACACGUGAGUAACCUGCCCUUGACUUUGUGAUAACUUCAGGAAACUGGGGCUAAUACCGGAUAUGAGCUCCUGCUGCAUGGUGGGGGUUGGAAAGUUUCGGCGGUUGGGGAUGGACUCGCGGCUUAUCAGCUUGUUGGUGGGGUAGUGGCUUACCAAGGCUUUGACGGGUAGCCGGCCUGAGAGGGUGACCGGCCACAUUGGGACUGAGAUACGGCCCAGAAUCCUACGGGAGGCAGCAGUGGGGAAUAUUGCACAAUGGGCGGAAGCCUGAUGCAGCAACGCCGCGUGCGGGAUGACGGCCUUCGGGUUGUAAACCGAUUUCGCCUGUGACGAAGAGUGAGUGACGGUAAUGGGUAAAGAAGCACCGGCUAACUACGUG